rnacentral:rRNA from 1 species
GCAAUGCACGAAAGUGUGACGGGGCUACCCCGAGUGCCACCCGCUGAGGGUGGCUUUUCUUUGGUAUAACUAGCCAGGGGAAUAAGGAGAGGGCAAGACUGGUGUCAGCCGCCGCGGUAAUACCAGCUCUCCGAGUGGUAGGGAUGAUUAUUGGGCUUAAAGCGUCCGUAGCCGGCUUAUCAAGUCUCCUGUUAAACUCAGCGACCUAAUCGUUGAAUCGCGGGAGAUACUACUAGGCUAGGAGGCGGGAGAGGUCGACGGUACUUCUGGGGUAGGGGUGAAAUCCUAUAAUCCCAGGAGGACCACCAGUGGCGAAGGCUGUUGACUAGAACGCGCUCGACGGUGAGGGACGAAAGCUGGGGGAGCGAACCGGAUUAGAUACCCGGGUAGUCCCAGCUGUAAACGAUGCGGGCUAGGUGUUGGGGUGGCUACGAGCCACUUCAGUGCCGCAGGGAAGCCAUUAAGCCCGCCGCCUGGGGAGUACGGCCGCAAGGCUGAAACUUAA